GAGCGGCGCGAGAAAGCUGAAGGUCAUGUGGCCGCCCUCAACCGACGCAUCCAGCUCGUUGAGGAGGAGUUGGACAGGGCUCAGGAACCACUGGCCACGGCCCUGCAGAAGCUGCAGGAGGCGGAAAAGGCUGCAGAUGAGAGUGAGAGAGGAAUGAAGGUGAUAGAAAACCAGGCCAUGAAGGAUGAGGAGAAGAUGGAAAUUCAGGAGAUGCAGCUCAAAGAGGCCAAGCAUGUUGCGGAAGAGGCUGACCGCAAAUACGAGGAGGUAGCUCGUAAGCUGGUCAUCCUGGAGGGUGAGGUGGAGAGGGCAGAGGAGCGUGCGGAGGUGUCUGAACUAAAAUGUGGUGACCUGGAGGAAGAACUCAAGAAUGUUACUAACAACCUGAAAUCUCUGGAGGCUGCAUCUAAAAAGUAUUCUGAAAAGGAGGACAAAUAUGAAGAAGAAAUUAAACUUCUGUCUGACAAACUGAAAGAGGCUGAGACCCGUGCUGAAUUUGCAGAGAGAACGGUUGCAAAACUGGAAAAGACAAUUGAUGACCUGGAAGAGAAACUUGCCCAGGCCAAAGAAGAGAACGUGGGUUUACAUCAGACACUGGAUCAGACACUAAACGAACUUAACUGUAUACAAGCAAAACAGAAACUCCGGAGCUCCGUGGUCUUUCUUUUCUCUUGUAUGAAGUUCUUUUUGUUAUUGCCAUCUUUGCUUUGCUGGAAAUGUCAAGCAAAUUAUGAAUACAUGACCAAAUAUUUUGUAUCGGAGAAGCUAUAAGCACCAGUUAAAUCUCAUUCCUUCCUUUUUUUUUUUUUUUUCCAAAUGGCACCAGCUUUUUCAGCUCUCUUAUUUCUUCCUUGAGUUGCAUUUAUUUCUAAGGUAGGCAAGGUAUUUCUUCAUAAGCAUACUUUCUUAAGACAGAGGCCAUUUGGUUCCUAGGAGAAUAGGCAGCCCCACACUUUGAAGAACACAGACCCCAAUAUCUAGUCGUGGAUAUAAUUAAAAUGUUGAAGACCAUAAUCUUUUGGGUCAACUGUUGGUCAAACUAUAGGGACCAUCACAUGGGUAGUGAUUUUCCAUCCAGAGCCAAUAAAAGGGCGGGUGGGGGCCAGGGGUGGCUAUUGUGGGAAGUCAUAACCCACAGAUAGAUUAACCUAAGAAUCCUGACCCUUCUCCACACUCCACCAUGCAGAAUAAACAUCCUCUCAAGCAGUCAACGUAGAAUGCUUGGGUAAUAGUCAUAAUUACCCACAUAUAGUAAUUAAUAGAUGGUAAUUAAU